UCCUACAAGUGCUGCAGGUAAAGUUCCAGAAUGUGGAGAAAUUUAGUCUCACAAUCACAGACAAUAAAUAUUAUCUGAAAGUCGGGUUAUUGUUGUUUAUCAGCACAAUACAAAAAUAUUAAUGUUAGAAAUAUUCCAGUUAAGACUCUAGAAUAUCAUGAUUUAUGUAAAUUUACCUCAAUAAUAUGAAUGUUCAGGUUAAGAUUGUACAGUGAUAUUUAUUAUGUAAGUUUAGCUGAUUAAAGUUUAGGACUCUGCACUACAAUAUUAUUUAUUAUUUAAAUUUACAUAAUUAUUAUAAUAUUUAGGGUCAGACCCUACAGGAUUGAAAUUAAGAAAUCAAAUAUUUUAUAAAAUGUAAAUACACUGAACUCAUUUGGAUAUAUUUAAGUGAGACUCUACAAUAUUAUUUGACACAAAUCUAUCUAAAUAUAAAUUUUAAUCAUUUUUACUCCAAACAUUUACUGGACUGAUUUAAAUAUUAAAAUCCCUCCUUUCUAAUCCUCUGCUGUAUGUUCAAACCUGAGGCCUUAAAUAGAAACACACAAGUCUCUGAUUGAAGGAACUUCUGCAGAGUCCUGGUUCCAGAACAUGAUGAUAGAAUUAUAGACAAACUUUAACAAAAGCUGCCUGAGAGUUUACAGGUUUUUAUGUUAGAUUUCUUCAGUAAUUUAACGAGCGUUAUCAGCAACAAUCAGGUGUUCAUUUGAUGAACUUCAUUUUCUAAAACAUCCAGAAUUGGAACUCAUAUCUUUGGCAGCUGUAAAGUUUCUGCUCCUUCAAAGUUCACAACACAAUGAAUUAAUUCCUAAAACACUCUCAAUGCUGGAGAGCGUUUGUGAUGCUGAAGCAGUGAUCAGUUUUUCUGUUUCUUCUCUGGAGAUGCACAAUGAGGGACGUCUGCAGAGACUGAGAAAGAGUCUCACCACAUCCUGACAUGAGGAAAAAGACUUUAUUGAAGACUACAAUGAGAAAAACUAUCAGACAGCAGACGGCUGCAUUCAAGUCUGUAGCUGCUGAAUUCAUGGAUGAAUCAUCUGGCACUAGAGAGGAAGACCAUCAAACAUCCACAUCAGCUGAUGGAGGUCCAAAAGUCUCACCAAACAAACAACCUACAGAGUGAAGACCUCAAAUCUGAUUGGACGGCCUCCUAUUCAGCCACAUGUGAACAAAUGCCUCUAAGCUGAUUUGUUUUCUAAAAUAAAUCUAGUUUGAGUCCUAA